rnacentral:misc_RNA from 1 species
AAGUCGUAACAAGGUUUCCGUAGGUGAAAAAACAUUGCCAAAAGAACUACUGCUCGAUUGUAACUGUUCCAAUGUUCGCACGUAGCCAGAGGUCUCUGAAUCACUACAACUUUUCGGGCAAUGAUUUAUCAGAGAUUGCGAACUACGCGGGUUACAAGAGCAGGAUAAAGGUUCACGGGGGGGGGGGUUUAACGUUUGGAUACGUGUUAAUGAUCCUUCCGCAGGCCCAAGCAGUCAGUGUCGGAAAGUGUCAUUGAUUGUGCAAGGAUAGCGCUUCUACGAUUCCUGUAGACCGUACACUCGGGCAGGAGCUUUGCCAAAGGGUCCCCAUGCCCCCUAAUAACCCCACAGUUUAUUGUGAACCUCAAUGUAAUACAUUGGGUAAAAAAACCGAACAACUGUUAACAAUGGAUAUCUUGGUUCUC